AGACUCGGCCCGGCCCAGCUCGGCCCUGCAUGGCUCACGCGGGCUGAAAGAGCCUGCGGAGCGUCAAAGAGCCGGCACCGUCCCGAGACUGCCCGAGCCGCGGGGUACUCCGAGCUCCGGCGCUGGGGUCUGGCGCGCGCCUCGCAGUCCCUGAGACUGUCUGUUCACCUGGAUGCACCAGGCCUUCACCCCGCCUUUUCCCUGCGAUCCCACAGAAUCUCAGGAGUUCAGGGAAGGCCAAGGGUUUUAGGAGCAUUUGUCGGUGAGGCUCUUCAGAUGCUUGCACCAAGUCUUCGUUUUUUAGUUAAGUAUAGGGAGCUUUCCAUGUACUCGGCUUCAGAAUUCGGAAACUGAGAAAACAUGCACAAGAUGAUGGGAACUUUCAUAACUGUCUUGAUUCAUUGUAACCACACUAGUGUUUCCAAACCUUACGUGAAAGCGUUACCCUUUGUCCCUUUCGUGGUGGUUGUUUCUGUGUUUUAUUACCGCUUCCUAAAUUCUAAGGAAAAAAAUUCACAUCUUAAUGAUAGGUAGAAAUUACUCAAAUAUCAGAAAGGGUCCAGAUCAAGCACUUUUCCAGUCAUGCUGUAAUACAAGAGUUAUAUAAAGAUAAUUUAUGUCUUUAGUAAAGGAAAAAGUAGGACACUGGCUAAGGCUGCCUCCCUCUAGUACAUUCCAACAUCGGAAACGGCCCUACCACAAAGCAAACUAAGCCUAAUGUAAUUAGACUGCAUCCCCAAAAUGUCACAGUGAAUUGACAAAGGCAAAAUGUGAGACAAGUUAUACAAACAAACAUCAAAAAGAAGUCAGAAGACCUCACUUUCAGCUAAAGACCUUGCUAAUUCUAGAGCUGCCACUGUCUAAAUACAUAGCACCUACCCUGCGCCUAACCCUGUGAUGAGUGCUGAGAAGAGGGUAAUAGAGUGGAGGCUGUAAAAGUCAAACAAGGCUAGGUAAGGAAGGCUUUGGGCAUCCAGUGGAAGAUCUUGGACUUGAGGAAUGAAGGCUGAACCAGGCUUCUAACCUAGAUGAGGAGACAGUGAAAAUAAAGUGGAGCCUAAGCUUCAGAAGGAUGGUCUCGCUGAGCACUGUAUCCAGAGUGCCUCACACACUGCCUGGCAGAAGAAACUUCUCUAUACAUAUAGGAAUUUGACAACAGUUUGUACUGCUUAUGGAUUUAAAGAACUGGCACCUUGAAUGGGAUUCUGAAUAGAAUUCGUACAGAUGGAAUGUAAAUAUCACCCUGAACUGAAUUGGCCCUCAUCCUGUCCAGCCAAUCUGGAAAUGUCUGGUGUAUCUCCUGGGAGCAUUCCCCAAAGAACCUUCUACACACGGCUCUCCAACUCAAAGUCUGUUUUCAAGGAAUCCAGUUCAAGACAGGGAUAGUUGGAAGACACAACCGUUCUGUGGACUUUGAUGUUCUUGAUAUUCAUUCUUGGUAUUGGCAUCAUGAGUUGUGACACUAAAAGGAGUCUCCAAGUGACUUUGUAAUAAGACAGGGACAAAGAGGUGUGAUACAUCCCUCACAGAUGGUCAGAAAUAUCUAAACAGUUUUUGCCAAAGAGACAGGGUCCUGAAUGGGCAGCAGGGUUAAGAGAAAAAUGUGUAGUUAUUAAUGUCAAUGAGACAUCCUUUGCUAGAAGAUGAUGGUGAGGUCUCAAGGAGAUCUAGGUUAUAUUUAUAAGGAAUCACUCCAAUGACCACGUGUGUCUCUUCUAAAAUUAGACUUUAUUGUGCUCUAUUAAAACAGCUUUUUCUUUAGAAGAGGGUUUCUCAAAAUGUGAUUUGGGGACUACCUGCAUCAGGAACACCUGAGAAUUUGUUAAAGUUGCAGAUUCUAGAGCCUCAUCUCGUGCUUACUGAACCAGAAUCUCUGGGUAUCUGCAUGUUUGUUUAACAAGUUUUUCAAAGCUUACAUGUUUAGCCAGCUUUUAAAGUAAAAGUUUUCAACUGCUUUAGUGGGUAAAGGGUUUCUUUUGCAGAUGAUGAAAAUCUUCUGGAAUUAGAUAGAGGUGAUAGCUUCACAACAUUGUGAAUAUAUUAAAAACCACUGAAAUGA